CCGGAUAGUUCCUUGAACCCGCAUGGUUCAAGGAUGAAAGACGGUUUCGGCUGUCACUUACAGAUGGACCCGCGGCGCAUUAGCUAGUUGGUGGGGUAAUGGCUCACCAAGGCGACGAUGCGUAGCCGACCUGAGAGGGUGAUCGGCCACACUGGGACUGAGACACGGCCCAGACUCCUACGGGAGGCAGCAGUAGGGAAUCUUCCGCAAUGGACGAAAGUCUGACGGAGCAACGCCGCGUGAGUGAUGAAGGUUUUCGGAUCGUAAAGCUCUGUUGUUAGGGAAGAACAAGUGCGAGAGUAACUGCUCGCACCUUGACGGUACCUAACCAGAAAGCCACGGCUAACUACGUGCCAGCAGCCGCGGUAAUACGUAGGUGGCAAGCGUUGUCCGGAAUUAUUGGGCGUAAAGGGCUCGCAGGCGGUUUCUUAAGUCUGAUGUGAAAGCCCCCGGCUCAACCGGGGAGGGUCAUUGGAAACUGGGAAACUUGAGUGCAGAAGAGGAGAGCGGAAUUCCACGCGUAGCGGUCAAAUGUGUAGCGACGUG
rnacentral:rRNA from 1 species